AGACACAUCUGCUCCUCGAAGCACCAAUUACUUCAAAGAGGAUGAUGGGCACCGAAGAAUCUCCAUAUGGAAUUUGUUUUCUUUAUGGCAAAAGCUAGACAUGUAUGUGGGCAAAGAAACUGCCCUUGCCUCAACUGCUGACAGUUACUGUCCACACUGGACCAGCAAGAUGCCAUAAAGGAGACUGCCGAACUUUGCCAAGACAAGGAACCUAAAGGAACAGACACCUGAGAUCUCCGCAAUGACACCCAACGAUACUUCUUCACUCAAGCUUCCCACCGUGCGUGACUCCCGGCUUCCCCCUCCCCACUUUGCCCCUUGUCAGCUUGAAGCAGUCUCUAGAAUUCAGUGCCCUUGUUACCCCACUCGCUAUCCAUAACUCACCUUUUUAUAAUAAUCAAAACAUCCCUUGGAAACCAAUGUUAGUGUUCUGACCUGCCCCUUGGUGCUACCCUGUGUCCUGGUGUAAAAGCCUCGUUUUAAGGAAAAGCCCUCCCACCCCGUCUUCCUCUCUCUCUUCUGCUUCUCCUCCCAUGAGGUAUGCACCCUCAAACCCCCUCUCUCUCUUUCUUUCUCUCUCUCCUCUCCCUCUUCCCUAUCUUUCUCUCCAUCUCUCUAUUAUAAUAAACAAUAUCCAUGUGGA